rnacentral:rRNA from 1 species
AUUGAACGCUGGCGGCAGGCCUAACACAUGCAAGUCGAGCGGUAGAGAGAAGCUUGCUUCUCUUGAGAGCGGCGGACGGGUGAGUAAUGCCUAGGAAUCUGCCUGGUAGUGGGGGAUAACGUUCGGAAACGGACGCUAAUACCGCAUACGUCCUACGGGAGAAAGCAGGGGACCUUCGGGCCUUGCGCUAUCAGAUGAGCCUAGGUCGGAUUAGCUAGUUGGUGGGGUAAUGGCUCACCAAGGCGACGAUCCGUAACUGGUCUGAGAGGAUGAUCAGUCACACUGGAACUGAGACACGGUCCAGACUCCUACGGGAGGCAGCAGUGGGGAAUAUUGGACAAUGGGCGAAAGCCUGAUCCAGCCAUGCCGCGUGUGUGAAGAAGGUCUUCGGAUUGUAAAGCACUUUAAGAUGGGAGGAAGGGCCAUUACCUAAUACGUGAUGGUUUUGACGUUACCGACAGAAUAAGCACCGGCUAACUCUGUGCCAGCAGCCGCGGUAAUACAGAGGGUGCAAGCGUUAAUCGGAAUUACUGGGCGUAAAGCGCGCGUAGGUGGUUUGUUAAGUUGGAUGUGAAAUCCCCGGGCUCAACCUGGGAACUGCAUUCNAAACUGACUGACUAGAG